ensembl:snRNA U6 U6 spliceosomal RNA
GUGCUCGCUUGGUCAGUACAUACAAUAAAAUUGGAACGAUACACAGAAGAUUAGCAUGGCCCUGCACCGGGAACACCCACAAACUCGUGAAGCGUUCUCUAUUUUA